AGUGAACGCUGGCGGUAGGCCUAGCACAUGCAAGUCGAACGGCAGCACAGUAAGAGCUUGCUCUUACGGGUGGCGAGUGGCGGACGGGUGAGGCAUACAUCGGAAUCUACUUUUUCGUGGGGGAUAACGUAGGGAAACUUACGCUAAUACCGCAUACGACCUACGGGUGAAAGCAGGGGAUCUUCGGACCUUGUGCGUUUGAAUGAGCCGAUGUCGGAUUAGCUAGUUGGCGGGGUAAAGGCCCACCAAGGCGACGAUCCGUAGCUGGUCUGAGAGGAUGAUCAGCCACACUGGAACGGAGACACGGUCCAGACUCCUACGGGAGGCAGCAGUGGGGAAUAUUGGACAAUGGGCGCAAGCCUGAUCCAGCCAUACCGCGUGGGUGAAGAAGGCCUUCGGGUUGUAAAGCCCUUUUGUUGGGAAAGAAAAGCAGCAGGUUAAUACCCCGCUGUUCUGACGGUACCCAAAGAAUAAGCACCGGCUAACUUCGUG
rnacentral:rRNA from 1 species